ensembl:lncRNA
CAGGUUUCUUCUUGGCAUGAGAUAGUUGUUGAACUUGCCGUAUUUGUAAGCAAUGGCGUCACAGCGGCGCGACAAAGGCUGUCCAAAUUAGAAGAGUCCUCCAAAUGUGGCGACAAAUGCGUCCUUCAUUUCCCCGAAUUUGAACGAUGGGUCAGGUGUAUCCUUCAUGUCCUACCAUAUCCCAAGAUUCAUUGCGGUCAUACAGGAGGCUUUUUUUGAUAACGAUGGUGGCCAAUGCCGGAGAGGAAAACACUUUCAGUUAACCAACUGAUUCUGCAGCAGAGCAUCGCCUGUUGCUUCUCCUGGCUCCCCAGUCCCUGAGCUCCUGCUGCACCCACAGAGCUCUACAGCAGAGAGGGAAGUUCCAGCGCUCCUGGAAUCCCUCUGUGAUGGACCGCCAGUCUCCAGGUGAAGGCACAGCCAUGAAGUCGUCCACUAGACAGUCCCAGAUGGCCGUCGCUACCUGGGGGGUGAUCUGGCACACCGACUCUGAAACUGAACGCGAUGGUCCUAAAGGAGUCCCCGGUGGCAAGGAACCUGGACAAAAUUGUUCAAAAUUAGUAUUAUGUGUACUGCAGUUACAAAAUACAUGAUUCAAAUUCCAAA